AAGGAAUACCUGUCACACUAAUUUCAGACAACGGACCUCCUUUUAACGCCGUAGAAUUUGCCAAUUUUAUCAAAGAGUGGGACAUUCAACACAUCACGACAAGCCCGUAUCACUCACAGUCCAACGGUCAAGUCGAACGAGCAAUCGGAACUAUCAAGAGAAUGCUAAUGAAAACUAUCGAGUCGAAUGGAGAUCCCUAUCUAACAUUAUUACAGUAUAGGAAUACACCAAACGAUAGCAAGAACAGUCCUGCUCAACUCCUGAUGUCUCGUCGUCUUAGAUGUUCCCUGCCAGUUCAUGCAGAUUUGCUUCUACCGAAACCAAUAGAUGUAAAUCGUUAUGAAAAUUGGGUCGAAGAUAGAAACAAGAGGAUGAAAGACAUUUACAAUAGAGGAGCAACCAAACUACCAGAAUUAAUGACUGAAGACGAUGUAUUGUUUAAGAAGAUUCCAUCAGAUAAGAAAUGGAUACAAGGAAAAAUAACGCAGGUUGGUCCUGAGCCAAAAAGCUACAUCAUUCAAUCUAGGGAUGGGAUGCAUUAUAGACGAAAUAGGGUUCACAUAACGAAAUUUUACAAAUCCAAUUGUAAUCCAGAAUAUGGUAAAUCGAAUAAUACACACCCCAGUCAACACGUAACUCUCAGUUACAUAACUGAAAGAGCUCUACUAAGUAACAUUGAUAUGUUACAGUUGUAACUGAAAUGAUAUGUAACUGAAAGGGCUCUAAAAGGUAACAAAGCUAUGUAACAAUUGUAACUGAAAUGAUAUGUAACAUAGAGGUUGGAAUGUUCUAUACCAAACACGUAAUAAUCACUUACAUAACUGAAAGGGCUCUAGAAGGUAACAAAGUUAUGUUACAAUUGUAAUCGAAAUGAUAUGUAACAUAGAAGUUGGAAUGUUCUAUACCAAACACGUAAUAAUCACUUAUAUAACUGACAGGGUUCUAGAAGGUAUCAAAGUUAUGUUACAAUUGUAACCGAAAUGAUAUGUAACAUAGUGGUUGAAAUUGGCCCAAACCGCUUGAAGCACUGUUAGGGUCUUAGGGAAGUCAAAGUCUCAAAGUGGCCAUUCUAAUGAUGAGCUAUAAUGGCAUAUGAAGGUACAUCAAGGUUGUUAAUACAAAAUUUCUUUUCUUAUCCAUAAAAUAGGUACACCAUCUUUUGCGCAGUCUCGUACUGUCGUGAGACGCCAUUUCUAUCUCCUAUGUGACACGCUGUUGAUGAACGGAAUUUUUGUGGUGUUUAUCUACGGUUUUUUGUGAGAAGAGGUGAAGUAUAUCUGAAAAGAAGUACGCAUAUACCUCUAGUGAAAAGUAAAGGUUAACGGCUGCGGGACACAUAACCUCAACAGUCAACCUCAAGCGAAAGAUAAAGUUCUUUUUGACGCUAUAUUGAAAUAAGUCGGUGUUGUUUUGGUUCAGUGUUUGUGUAAGUAUAAAUUUAUAUUCUACCUUUUUUAUUUGGGGAUUAGCUGUUCCCUUCUUGGGAAAAGGAAUCAUUUUCCGUUCAAGCAUUUGGAAUUGAUGAAUAAUAUUUUAAGUAAGCAACACUAUUUUUACAUAAUGAAAGCUGUUUUGGUGGAAACGCAGUUUGUCUUAUAGAACUUUCUUUUAUCCAGAUGCCGUUCGGCAAACUUUCCCCGACACUACCGAAAGUGCCAUUGAAUUGACGGUGGGUGAGUGGUUACACUUAAGCACGCUGAGACAGUCAAGAGAAAAACCUCUCCAAAAUCAAUAAUUUUAUUAUAUAUUAUUAAUGAAUAUUUGAAAUGUAUCUAUUGUGAUAAUAUUCUACAUUUUUAGGAAUUGUUAUUUUGUUUUAUUUUAUAAGAAUAUAUCUUUAUUUUUUCA